rnacentral:rRNA from 1 species
GACGAACGCUGGCGGCGUGCCUAAUACAUGCAAGUUGAGCGAUGAAGAUUGGUGCUUGCACCGAUUUGGAGAGCAGCGAACGGGUGAGUAACGCGUGGGGAAUCUGCCUUUGAGCGGGGGACAACGUUUGGAAACGAAUGCUAAUACCGCAUAACAACGUGAAACAUAAGGUUUAAGUUUGAAAGAUGCAAUUGCAUCACUCAAAGAUGAUCCCGCGUUGUAUUAGCUAGUUGGUGAGGUAAAGGCGCACCAAGGUGAUGAGACAUAGCCGACCUGAGAGGGUGAUCUGCCACAUUGGGACUGAGACACGGCCCACACUCCUACGGGAGGCAGCAGUAGGGAAACUUCGGCAAUGGACGAAAGACUGACCGAGCACCGCGGCGUGAGUGAAGAGGGUUUUCGGAUCGUAAAACUCUGUUGGUGGAGAAGAACGGUGGUGAGAGUGGAAAGCUCACCAAGUGACGGUAACUACCCAGAAAGGGACGGCUAACUACGUG